UUCGGGGUACACGAGCGGCGAACGGGUGAGUAACACGUGAGCAACCUGCCCCUGACUCUGGGAUAAGCGGUGGAAACGCCGUCUAAUACCGGAUACGACCGGCCACCUCAUGGUGGACGGUGGAAAGUUUUAUCGGUCAGGGAUGGGCUCGCGGCCUAUCAGCUAGUUGGUGGGGUAAAGGCCUACCAAGGCGAUUACGGGUAGCCGGCCUGAGAGGGCGACCGGCCACACUGGGACUGAGACACGGCCCAGACUCCUGCGGGAGGCAGCAGUGGGGAAUAUUGCGCAAUGGGCGAAAGCCUGACGCAGCGACGCCGCGUGGGGGAUGACGGCCUUCGGGUUGUAAACCUCUUUUACCACCAACGCAGGCUCCACGUUCUCGUGGGGUUGACGGUAGGUGGGGAAUAAGGACCGGCUAACUACGUGCCAGCAGCCGCGGUAAUACGUAGGGUCCGAGCGUUGUCCGGAAUUAUUGGGCGUAAAGAGCUCGUAGGCGGCGUGUCGCGUCUGCUGUGAAAGACCGGGGCUUAACUCCGGUUCUGCAGUGGAUACGGGCAUGCUAGAGGUAGGUAGGGGAGACUGGAAUUCCUGGUGUAGCGGUGAAAUGCGCAGAUAUCAGGAGGAACACCGGUGGCGAAGGCGGGUCUCUGGGCCUUACCUGACGCUGAGGAGCGAAAGCAUGGGGAGCGAACAGGAUUAGAUACCCUGGUA
rnacentral:rRNA from 1 species